UACGGAGGAUGCGAGCGCUAUCCGGAUUUAUUGGGUUUAAAGGGUGCGUAGGCGGACUGUCAAGUCAGCGGUAAAAUUGAGAGGCUCAACCUCUUCCCGCCGUUGAAACUGGUGGUCUUGAGUGGAUGAGAAGUACGCGGAAUGCGUGGUGUAGCGGUGAAAUGCAUAGAUAUCACGCAGAACUCCGGUUGCGAAGGCAGCGUACCGGCAUCCAACUGACGCUGAGGCACGAAAGCGUGGGGAUCAAACAGG
rnacentral:rRNA from 1 species